rnacentral:piRNA from 1 species
UUGGUUUUUGUUGUUGUUGACUUUCUCU